ACUCCUACGGGGAGGCAGCAGUGGGGGAAUAUUGCACAAUGGGGCGCAAGCCUGAUGCAGCCAUGCCGCGUGUAUGAAGAAGGCCUUCGGGUUGUAAAAGUACUUUCAGCAGUGAGGAAGGUGGGUGUGUUAAUAGCAUACNCAUUUUGACGUUAGCUGCAGAAGAAGCACCGGCUAACUCCGUGCCAGCAGCCGCGGUAAUACGGAGGGUGCGAGCGUUAAUCGGAAUUACUGGGCGUAAAGCGCAUGCAGGUGGUUUG
rnacentral:rRNA from 1 species